rnacentral:tRNA from 1 species
GCCUCUAUGGUGUAAUAUAACACGCUGGUUUUUCGUGCCGGUGAUGAACGAUUGUAGUUCUAGAGGUA